UAUGUAGGGUGCGAGCGUUGUCCGGAAUUACUGGGCGUAAAGAGCUCGUAGGUGGUUUGUCGCGUUGUCCGUGAAAACUCACAACUCAAUUGUGGGCGUGCGGGCGAUACGGGCAGACUGGAGUACUGCAGGGGAGACUGGAAUUCCUGGUGUAGCGGUGGAAUGCGCAGAUAUCAGGAGGAACACCGGUGGCGAAGGCGGGUCUCUGGGCAGUAACUGACGCUGAGGAGCGAAAGCGUGGGGAGCGAACAGG
rnacentral:rRNA from 1 species